CUGGGGGGGGGGGAGGCCCUCAGCCUGGAUUGCGAGGGCACAGGCCAGGCCGAGGGACCCCACCGGUGCACG
rnacentral:pre_miRNA from 1 species